GGGUCGUUAGCUCAGUUGGUAGAGCAGUUGACUUUUAAUCAAUUGGUCGCAGGUUCGAAUCCUGCACGACCUACCA
rnacentral:tRNA from 11 species